GUUCCUCAUAAGCGACCGCCUGAACAUCUGUAAGAAAGAAAACCUUACAGUCAACCUCAGCGAGUGCCUCGGGCUCUCAAACACUGAAGCUGUGUUGUCAAACUGGCUCAGGACCCUGGAAUGCAGAAUCCUCAUCCAGGAAAGGGAUUCCAGUCGGUUAUCACAGACAUAUCAGCUCUUACAGUGAAAACCAACUGAAGAUAUCAAAGGCUACUUCUAUUUUAUGGGAAACAAAUAUGUGAGCUCUGACUCUUCUGGGGAACCAAAGUUCUCUUCGGUGUACCAAAAAGGUUACUCCUACUUGGCAUCUUCAAACAAUGACUCACGUUUGCGGCUUCCCAUCAAGAGCUGCUCCUUUGGCUAAUUUGAAUUUCAAGAAUCUCCUUGGAAAGAGGAGCCCAAUGGUAAAACACCCUUCC